rnacentral:lncRNA from 1 species
AAAGGAAAGAAAGAAAAGAAAAGAAAAGAAAAGAAAAGAAAAGAAAAGAAAAGAAAAGAAAAGAAAAGAAAAGAAAAGAAAAGAAAAGAAAAGAAAAGAAAAGAAAAGAAAAGAAAAGAAAAAAAGCCCAAAUUAGGCAUCGGAUAUCACGAGUCACAGUGGUACUCAGAGUUCCUUCUGCUGCUACGAAUAGAAAUUACUGUUAAAAGUCUCUCUGAAAAGGUGUCUGUAAUUCAGAAUUUGUUUUAUGUGCAAUUUAAAGUAGCUUAAAUUUAUUUGUUCUCUUUCAGAAGUUAUACUUUAACAUGAAAAACACCGAAGAGCAUAAAUUGUUCUUUAUUUAACAAUUUUAGAUCUGGGAAUAUUUCAUUUAGAUCUAUUCUAGAUUUUACUGCUGGUGUUAACAUGCAGGUAGUAUUCUGUCAUUCUUUCAUUUUUGCAAUGAUCUAACAGUGAAUUUUUCACUGAUGCAACAUGCAGAUAUUAUUCUUUUAUAUGCAUUUCAGUAAAUAUUAAACAAGUAUAUAAAAUAUAUGUAAAGGGUACUGGGAAUUUAGGGCCUACUCUGUAUGCUUAUGAUGGAGGUUGUUGUCCACUCUUCCGAAAGAUGACACUCGAGAAUUCAGAUGACAUGGAAAAUACAGAGGUUUUAAAUAGUGAUACAGCUAAAAUGCAAAACUCAGCCAAUGACAGCAAUAUCCCUUCCAAACUCUUUUUAACAGACACAAACUACUAAAUCCUUUAACUACAGAAUUGAGUCUGACUGACAGCUGAAGAAAAGUACACCUGAUAUUUAGAGAUAAACACUCUCAGUGUCAUAAAAAGGUAUGCCAGAUCUAACCUUCAGCCUGGACUUAGAAUGUCACAGUACAAAGGAAAUAGUUUUGUUUUUAUUCUUUGUCAUUAACAGGCUGGCUGAGCCAGGAGUUGGCUCUAAGAGUUCCUUAAAAAUGAGAGCAAAUAAUGUAAUGUAUUUAUGUCCUAAUCACAAAAAUGCCAGAAUAGUCUGCAUACUUUGUUAAUAGUCCUAAUGCCUUUCCAGGAAGGACAUACAGAGUAGUCUCAUUGGGGUUACUCUUAGUGUUAAAAUCAUGGAUCUGUUAAAUGUGUUAGGAAAUUAUGAUCUUUACUGUAUAAUUAGUAAGAUCUCUUGAUUCUCAUUGCUUAAGAUCCCAGAAGCUGAUAGGAGCUACUUUCUCUAUUUUACAGUGGGUAAGCUUGGGUGCAUGAAGAUAGUCCUGCCAAAGGCCAGGCAGGGAAUCCUUAACAAAGCCCAGAGCCCUUUAAGUUUCAUCUGAGUACUUUAACUUCACAGCAGCAAUUUUUAUCACCCUUUUAAUUUCACUGAAAAAGCCUUUAAAUACUCAAUAUAAUAACAGGUGACUGAAGGAUGAUCUUGAGGUAACUUGAAAGGAGAAGAUUUUUCUGCUUUCCACCUUAAAAAAGCACGGGUAUAUUAAACAAUGAGAACUGACAACAAAGGUAAGCUAAAAGCUAAACAUAAUAAGACACUGUUUUCAGCAUUUCAAAAGAACUAAAUACAACACAUCAGCAGCUUCAAAAUCCUUUUGAACAAAUGCACUCAGAAACAACUAACUGGCAAACAAAGCUAUUAUGAAGAUGACAGUGUGGCCAGUGAUCUUUUGGCACAUCAACUCCAUAAAGUGUAGGCCUCUAGGAAUACUCCUCACAUUUCAGUAAGUAGAAAAGCAAAUUUAACAACAGAUACUGAGGUCAGGGUAUUAUAAUUUGUUGAUUUUUACAAAGUUUAAUAGAUGAGAAUGUCCCCAAAAUGAGAAGUAUAUCCCUUAUUUAUUGUUGAAGGGAUUUGAUUUACUUUAAAUUUUAAAGGAUCGAUACAGUGAUCAGAAUUUCAGAGUCCCAGUCACAAUACUUUAUAUUUAGAUUAAUUUUUAUUCUGCCAAAGCAAUAUAGAAGCAUCUUAAACAGCACUCAUAACAUAAGAUAGAUGUCCUGUACCCUAUCAUGUAUCAUAAUUUCUAAGUAAUUAAGCUGCUCUCAACAGACAGAAGAUCAUGCUAGUUUACGAAGACUACAAAGCAUGGUUCAAAUAAUACAUGGAAAUAACAACAUCCUUUGAAAAAUACAAGUCUUCUUUAGCUGCUGGUUUUGUGUAACUAUGCAUAAGAAGCUGUAUAGCAGAAAAAAAUCUUUCAGCCUCAUUAAUAAGGAAUGUCACUAAAAAAUAGGUAGGUAAUCAUGUCUCAUUAUCUUUCAAGAAUGUCACAGCAGAAUCAACACAGCUUCAUGGUGUUUAGGGAGAAAGGAAAGGGAACAGUCUGGCUAUCCCAUUGGCUUUCUGCUGGCUCAUGAAGAGACACUUUGAGAUGA